CACACCGAACUAAACUUGUGUCGAACAUUUGAUCUAAACUUACAAAUACUUAGGUAGAAAAUUUUCUAAUUGAUCUAUCUACAAACCUAGACAGAACCAAUCAAUAGACACACUAGACCCUUUUUCAAUCAAUUAGGUUUAUUUUACAACUGAUCGCUUUUUUCUCGAUCUAGAUCACAUGUCAGUGUGUGUACUGGCUCCAAAUCAACGGUUCUAAUAUUGACUUCCAAUGGGUCAUUAUAUGUGCCCUUGUUAUUUGUGUGUUCCUUUGAAAUAGAUGUGUCUUGAUGUCGUCACAGAUAGUGAUACAUUACCGGUUCAAGACUUUCCAGAUUUAGCUGAUCAGAUGGAACUAUAAACAACAGAUUUGGUUAGUUUUUAAAAGCUGAGCAUAGACCACACCAGAGACUCUACUUAAAAAUUAUCUCCAACAUCGAGUCAAAUAGUACAUAAGAGUUACUGAAACUGCUUAAUAUAGAUCAGAAUAAGUCAGCUAACUCUAAACUACAUAAUAGAUAUUCAUUAAUUUUCCAAUAUUCCAUCCGGAAUAGACCUUCGGCUUUCCAAUAUUUCAUCCGGAAUAUUCGGCCAGAUCUACGUAGUUCAAAUUAAAAAUGACCUUAAAGAAUUUCGGAACAACUAUCUUUUCUUUAUUGGAGCUGAUGCUAAUUUAGAAAGUAGGUGACCAGUUUUUAAAAGCUAAUCAGACCAAAUUCUGGCUACUUAUAUGAUGAAUGUUGUCUACACGUUGAGAAGCCAACACUGUUACUAUCUAUAAUUGCCACUUUGGACAGUGUAAAAAGAAGCCCUUUUCAAAGUUGAGAGGUGCAUAAACAAACUAUUUGUGACAUGGCUUCACGAGAAAUUCGCAUUGAACCCAAACUAAAGGAACUCUUCGUGGCAUGUCAAUUGAAAACCCACUCAAGUUUAGGACUCUAUUAAUCUACUUCACUGACCUAACAACCACUCGACUGUUGCCAUGUUGUCCUUUUUUUUGGAAAUGUUCGUUGACCUGUUGACCGCGCUGGGUGCCACCGUUAACAAGAUCGUCGACUUACUUCUGACCGGAGUCAAGGAGAUAAGUUUAUUCCAGCUAAGCGUCAUGAAAGCUGUCCUGGAGUUUUUCCUCUGCUUCUUACGCCAACCAAACGGUUAGGUUUUUUUUUUUUUUUUUUUUGGGGGGGGGGGGGUGGAAAUAAUUUCAUAUUGAUGAGAUCAAUGAUCAAUCGAUCCUGGAUCAGAAAGAUCAGGGACAUUUUUCCUGCCUUGCUCGUCCGAUUCAUUGACAGUUUUUUUUUUUCUCCUUGUGUCGUUAGAAGAUUUCACUGGACGUUAAAAUCAAUUUGACCAGCACGUCACUGGACGUUAAAAUCAAUUUGACCAGCACGUCAACUAGACAUAGUUUAAUGGGAGCUAUUCUGUUUUGAAAACUUGGUUUAUAGUUUGUUUGUAUGUAGUCUCGAUGUUGGUCUAUUGUACUAGUUAAUGUUUGUAACUUAGUUUGAGAAUGUUUGUACCAGAGAGUGUCAGAUGUCGAAGUAAAGAGGAUGGGAUUGAGAAAUGAAAGAGAGAGAGAGAGCGAGAGAGAAAGAGGGAGAACUAGAGAUAGAGAGACGGAGAGAUAGAGAUAGAGAAAGAGGGAGAGAGCUAGAUAGAGAGAGACGGAGAGAUAGAGAUAGAGAAAGAGGGAGAGAGCUAUAGAGAGAGAGAGAGAGAGACGUAUAGCUAAAGAGAGAGAGAGAGAGAAGAAGAGAGAGGUGACUAAAGACCUAAAAUAAAGAGGAGAAUGAGAAAGCAAAGGAUGAUGAUAAUUAUGAGAUGUGAAAUACAUUCGGUGAGACUUCUCAUUGAGAUCUUCUUUAGAUUUGUCUUUAUGCCACAAGUCUGAACCUUACUGGUGAUCAUUUGUUGCUUAUACCCUCACAUUGGUAUUAAAAAAACUAUGAUAUCA